CCUGUUGUAAUAAGCAGAGGAGUGUUGUGUGUGCAUUUUAAUUGCCAGCAGAGCCGUAGUUUGGUGGGCGCUCUGAGCUCGGCUCUGGGAAAGAGCCCUUUGCAGCUUUCUUUGUGGCAGUCAUUUGCAAAUGGGUUUGGCUCUCAGCUACGGCGGCGGCAGUAGCACCGCUUACUUCUACGCCGAUCCGGGCGCGGGAUGGGAGAAGGAAAUACUCUCUUUGCACUGCAUUAAGCCAGGAGGAUUCAUCUACCGUUUAACUGAUGUUCCUCUGUUUGAGGGAAUACCCAAGAUACUCCAGGUCUUAGGAGGGAAUGAUUCCCCAGUAAUAUUCCCUGCCCUGACCCAAGGUGCCGCUUGGCCUCCCUCCCAGGGAAGACUGCUUCUUGUGUAGCGCCAGCCACAGAAAGAGACUCCGAUGGACUUACACCGGGCAGCCUUC
rnacentral:sRNA from 1 species